AUGUGUGUGUGUGAGUGUGUACGUUGGAGAACACGAGGAAAGUACUACAGAGAUGAGAGAUUUUCGAGGGAUUUUGAAGAGAAAACGACGAAGAGUGAAAUCAUACAUCAUACAUAUACUACAAAAGUAGAAUACAUACACAUAUACGGUGGUCGACGUAUCUUAUACGGUGGCUUUGUUUCACGCGCGGGAAAUUGUUAUACGAUGUCGCUUCAUUGUUUCCCUAGUCCCUUCCCUACAAGUUUCCUCUACCGACUAUAUGUGAUUAAACUUAACGUGUUUAUAUUUUCAAAAUUAUAA